rnacentral:tRNA from 1 species
CGGUUAGAAUACCUGCCUGUCACGCAGGGGGUCGCGGGUUCGAGUCCCGUCCGUUCCGCCA